UAGUAUUUUAUAUAUAUAUUUAUACAGGAGUAUAAUUAAGUAAAAUAUUUAAUAUGUGAAAGUAUCAUAAUAAUCUAGUAAAUAAAUGUAUAUAAUGUUUAUUACUUAAUACCAAGUUAAUUAAAAUAUAUUUUCACUGUAAGAGUAUAUUUGUUAAAUAUGCAUACGUAUUGAAUAGGAUAUUAAAUUUAAUGUGUUGUGUUUCUGAGGUUUAUACAUCCGAUAUAUUUGUGUAAUAAUCGAUAAACAUAAGAAAAAAAGAAUUAUAUAAAAAAAAGAAAUCUUUUAAAUAGUCAAAGAAAACACACCAUUUUGGUUUAUUGUUUUUCUAUAAGUGCGUUUCACUUCUAAACACUAUGAAUCUUAUACCGCACUUAUUAUUCCAUUUUUAUUUUUUUUCUUAAUAAAAAAUAUGUAUUUAUUCUUUUCUUAAUAAACAAUAUUUACACAUUGAAAAGCAAGAUGAAUAGUAACAAUCUUUUGAUCCUGCAUAGCGGGAACGUAAACUGCUUAAAACAUUCAAUACCUACGAAUCUUAAACAUCGCUUAUUAUUCCAUAUUUAUUUUUUUUCUUAAUAAACAAUAUGUUUAUAUUAAUGAACAAUAUUUAUCCAUUGAAAAGCAAGAUGAGUGGUAACAGUCUUUUAUGCGUAGCGGAAACGUAAACCGCUUAAAACAUUCAAUAGUAUUUACACAACUUUCAGAUUUUCCGUUAUCCAACAAAUACUUCUAUGUACUGUUUAGAGGAUAAGUGUUUUCAUCUCUGUCUGUUAUGUCUGUCUUGAAGAAAAGGUUUUUUUUUUUUGCUUUUGGUUAAUAAUCUUCUGUGUUUAUAAGAUAACAGAGAUGGAAGCAAUAUUGUUACAGCAUAAUAUAGCAAUGCCAAGUCGACAUAUUCUGAAGAUCUCAGCUGUUCGUUGUAGCUUUAUCAUUGAUCUUUUGCGUGUUUAUCAUCCAAUAGGUAGUUUACAACUGUUGGAUUUCUGAGUGAAUCGGUGGAGCGGAAGGACAAAUUGUUGUGCAAUUCAAACAAAUCUAAGAGUAAGUACGAAUAAAGCUCCCGGGAAGCUAAAUUUGUCUUCCAUGCCUGGUGGUGUGGAUUUAACAAAUCAGAGGGAAAUGUGUUUCCCCCAUCAGCCAGUCUUAAACUUACUCAUAUGACUGGAAAUCAUGACCCCGGCUCUUUCAGUUCCCGAUGUCAUGAGGAGUGGUUCAGACAAAUCUUACUUGGAAUUUGAAGCCAAAUCUGCCAACGAUGGUUCAUAGUGAUUCCCUUACACUACUGGAUCUUCAGUAUUUUAGCUGACUUAUGAUACCAAAUUGGAAACAAACCUAACAGCGGGUUACCUCCCACUCAGAGUGGAUCAAAAAUCUAGUGACGUCUUAAAAAGUUACCCCAGACGGAUGAUAUCCAAUAGUUUUGGAAUGUAUUUCCAUAACUUAUGUUUGGAAAACUUAUAUUUUAACAGUUUAUCUUUUUUUACUGUGGUUUUACUAUAUUUACAUUUGAAAGCAAUACAGAUUAAUAUGGUCUGGCCCUAUACAUUUCUAGACUAAACAAUACUAAUGAUGCUAUAUAUUAAAACUAGAUGAUAACCUGCGCGCAUCCGCGGGGUGAGUUCAUAUAAUAAUAUUUGUUAAUUAAAUGAUUUUAACAUUUUGAAACACUACAAUUUUAUCGAUUGUAAAAUAACGAAUACAAAUGUUGGUCUCUUAAAUGUAUUAUCAUUGUUGAAGAGUUAAUGUAUUGCAACUCAUUUUAAUUAUUUUAAGACUUUAUAUGCACAAAAUGAAAUUAAGUUUUUCGGCUGACACAAAUCACCAAAACCAAAUAGGUAACAUCGAUUGUAUAAUGAUGAAAGGGAUUAGGCUUUCUGCUCUCGAUUUGUUUACUAUUGACUCUCCAUAAGUGAUUUCAUUUUCUACCUCUAUAAAAUUGUGUUUUCGUUCUCUUCUCUGUUUCAUUGAUAUGACUUUAGUUUCAUUUUUAACUUAUUCUAUGAAUUCAAUGAAUCACAUAAGUGUUAAUUUAAAAAGAUGGACAUCUGUAAAAAUUAGUUCUACUUCAGAUACAUAUCUAAGAAUCAAAAUUUUGAAGAAAAUCACCGACAAACCCUUUUAACA